rnacentral:rRNA from 1 species
GACGAACGCUGGCGGCGUGCCUAACACAUGCAAGUCGAACGGAAAGGCCCUGCGUUUGUGGGGUGCUCGAGUGGCGAACGGGUGAGUAACACGUGAGUAACCUGCCCUUCACUUUGGGAGAACUUCAGGUAACUGGGGCUAAUCUCAGAUAGGAUCUCCCGCUGCAGGGUGGGGGGUGGAUAGUUUCGGCGGUUGGGGUUGGAUUGGCGGCUUAUGAGCUUGUUGGUGGGGUAGUGGCUAACCAAGGCUUUGACGGGUAGCCGGCCGGAGAGGGUGACAGGCCACAUUGGGACUGAGAUACGGCACAGACUGCUACGGGAGGAAACAGUGGGGAAUAUUGCACCAGGGACGGAAGGCUGGUGCAGCAAGGCCGCGUGCUGGAAGACGGCCUUGGGGUUGUAAACCAGUUUCACGUUAAAAGACGGGUGAGUGACGGUAAUGGGUAAAGAAGCACCGGCUAAAUACGUG